CCUACGGGUGGCAGCAGUGGGGAAUAUUGCACAAUGGGGGAAACCCUGAUGCAGCGACGCCGCGUGAGUGAAGACGUAUUUCGGUAUGUAAAGCUCUGUCAGCAGGGAAGAAAAUGACGGUACCUGAACAAGAAGCCCAGGCUAACUACGUGCCAGCAGCCGCGGUAAUACGUAGGGGGCAAGCGUUAUCCGGAUUUACUGGGUGUAAAGGGAGCGUAGACGGCAGGGCAAGUCUGGAGUGAAAGGCGGGGGCUCAACCCCCGGACUGCUCUGGAAACUGCCAGGCUGGAGUGCAGGAGAGGUAAGUGGAAUUCCGAGUGUAGCGGUGAAAUGCGUAGAUAUUAGGAGGAACACCAGUGGCGAAGGCGGCUUACUGGACUGUAACUGACGUUGAGGCUCGAAAGCGUGGGGAGCAAACAGGAUUAGAUACCCCUGUAGUC
rnacentral:rRNA from 1 species